rnacentral:lncRNA from 1 species
AAAUUUCAUCUGGUGCUACUUCGGAAUCCUGACAUCAUGAAUAGCAAUAAAUCUCUUUAGAUCGGUGCUUAGAUACGUAGAUAAACUAGAUGCACUCAACAUGGUAACCACCUUUUUAAACCAUUUGCAAAUCAUCGACCUGAUUAAAGUAUUUGUUCUAUCCACUGUGAGGAAAAAGAAUAGGAAAGCUGUUUCCAUUACUGAAAGCCCAGGGACAUGGACUGGUUUUAGAGCCAAUGGGAAUGUUGAUCCAGAAGAAGACAGUCUACAGGGAGAAGUAAAAAUGAAGUAAAGAGAUCAGUAGUCUCAGAUCUGCCUUUCUUUCCACCACUCAGUUUCUUCCUACAGCUCAGGUAUUUGGAAAGUCUAACAAAAAAAUGGGUUGUGAGGAAUAGAGUUUAAGAUUUGUAUGUGCAGGGGAUGACAAAAUAAGGGAGUAAGGGAAUUCCCAAAGGGAAGGAGGGGUCAGGGAAUCCCUAGAAGUAAGGGAAAGACUGGAGGGUACAAGGAGGAAGGCCGGGCAGAGGGGCUGGGCAAUGAAAGCACGAUAAAGACAGACAAAAGCAAUGAAGAGAAAUCACAAAGGACUGUUCUUAUACUAGCUUCCUCAACUCACUUGUUUCUUGUUACUCUCCAUCACAGGAUGCUGGUUGAGGCUCCACAGCACCCUCUUGAAGACCUACAGCACCUUCUCAAGGAUCCACGGCCCCCUCUGGAGGCUCUGUUGCACCCUUUUGGGGAUCUAUAGCACCGUCUUGCCACUUUUCCUGGCUCCCCAGGGCUUCCUCCCAGUGCCUAUUCUCUGCUCUCUUUGCUGGCUUCCAACUGCCAUUAAUUCUAAUACAUGCCCUUCCCUAACAUGUUUACCUGGGGAAGAAUCUAAGUAAUUAAUUCUCACUAGGUAUUACUGAUUAAUUUAUUAGAAUCCUAAAAAGUUGUGCAUUUUAACAGGAAUUCCCUUCACCCAAAGGGUUGUUAGAGGUGGGACGGACCUUAAAAGUAAAAGCGAUUGAAGCCAAGUCUCUCCUCCUCCCUCCACACUUCAUUUGUAAGCUACAUACAGCCACACCAGGGCUGAUGCUGUCUGUACUAGUCCUUCUUAUACUACAUUGCCUCCAGUGAAGGAGCUCCCAGCACCAGGACAGAUGUGUUAGGGAUAUUUCUGAAGCAAGAGAGCCUUUUCAGCAUGCUUAAACAUUCCUUAUAGGCUAUGAUCUUCUUAACUCACACAUUAGGCUUUCCUGAGAAAGCAGACAGCAAUACCAUUAGCCCUGGAUAUAAAAACUUAUCUACCACUACUUUAAAUAUAUUUUUUAAAUUUUGGAUAACAGGUUUUGGUUAAAUAAUCCAUCCUUAUGAUGGAUUCUUUAAUCUCUUUGUCUCUGAAGAUGAUCAUAUGCAGUAGUUGGAGAGCUAAGAACAUCAACUUCUCACUUUUGCAUCUAAAAAGUAGUGGUUUAGAGUACGGAAUCUAGACUACAUUGCCUGGGGUUGAAUUGCAACUCUACCAUCACCAGUGUGUGACUUCAAACAAAUUAUUAACCUUUCUGUUCCUCAACUCACUUGUCUGUAAAAAUACUACUUACCUGUUAGGGUUCUUUGGGGAUCAAAUGCAUUAAUGCAAAAAUAGUGCUUAGAACAAUGCCUGACACCUGGUAAGCACUCAAUAAAUGGUAAUUGUUGUUAAUAUCA